rnacentral:rRNA from 1 species
GAUGAACGCUGGCGGCGUGCCUAAUACAUGCAAGUCGAGCGAACGGACGAGAAGCUUGCUUCUCUGAUGUUAGCGGCGGACGGGUGAGUAACACGUGGAUAACCUACCUAUAAGACUGGGAUAACUUCGGGAAACCGGAGCUAAUACCGGAUAAUAUUUUGAACCGCAUGGUUCAAAAGUGAAAGACGGUCUUGCUGUCACUUAUAGAUGGAUCCGCGCUGCAUUAGCUAGUUGGUAAGGUAACGGCUUACCAAGGCAACGAUGCAUAGCCGACCUGAGAGGGUGAUCGGCCACACUGGAACUGAGACACGGUCCAGACUCCUACGGGAGGCAGCAGUAGGGAAUCUUCCGCAAUGGGCGAGAGCCUGACGGAGCAACGCCGCGUGAGUGAUGAAGGUCUUCGGAUCGUAAAACUCUGUUAUUGGGGAAGAACAUAUGUGUAAGUAACUGUGCACAUCUUGACGGUACCUAAUCAGAAAGCCACGGCUAACUACGUG